UGACGCAGCCAUGCCGCGUGGGUGAUGAAGGUCUUAGGAUUGUAAAAUCCUUUCACCGGGGACGAUAAUGACGGUACCCGGAGAAGAAGCCCCGGCUAACUUCGUGCCAGCAGCCGCGGUAAUA
rnacentral:rRNA from 1 species